rnacentral:rRNA from 1 species
GAUGAACGCUGGCGGCGUGCCUAAUACAUGCAAGUCGAGCGAACGGACGAGAAGCUUGCUUCUCUGAUGUUAGCGGCGGACGGGUGAGUAACACGUGGAUAACCUACCUAUAAGACUGGGAUAACUUCGGGAAACCGUAGCUAAUACCGGAUAAUAUUUUGAACCGCAUGGUUCAAAAGUGAAAGACGGUCUUGCUGUCACUUAUAGAUGGAUCUGCGCUGCAUUAGCUAGUUGGUAAGGUAACGGCUUACCAAGGCAACGAUGCAUAGCCGACCUGAGAGGGUGAUCGGCCACACUGGAACUGAGACACGGUCCAGACUCCUACGGGAGGCAGCAGUAGGGAAUCUUCCGCAAUGGGCGAAAGCCUGACGGAGCAACGCCGCGUGAGUGAUGAAGGUCCUCGGAUCGUAAAACUCUGUUAUUAGGGAAGAACAUAUGUGUAAGUAACUGUGCACAUCUUGACGGUACCUAAUCAGAAAGCCACGGCUAACUACGUG